rnacentral:rRNA from 1 species
GGUGUGAAGAAAGGCCUUAUGGUUGUAAAGCACUUUAAGCGAGGAGGAGGGCUACUUUAGUUAAUACCUAGAGAUAGUGGACGUUACUCGCAGAAUAAGCACCGGCUAACUCUGUGCCAGCAGCCGCGGUAAUACAGAGGGUGCAAGCGUUAAUCGGAUUUACUGGGCGUAAAGCGCGCGUAGGCGGCUAAUUAAGUCAAAUGUGAAAUCCCCGAGCUUAACUUGGGAAUUGCAUUCGAUACUGGUUAGCUAGAGUGUGGGAGAGGAUGGUAGAAUUCCAGGUGUAGCGGUGAAAUGCGUAGAGAUCUGGAGGAAUACCGAUGGCGAAGGCAGCCAUCUGGCCUAACACUGACGCUGAGGUGCGAAAGCAUGGGGAGCAAACAGGAUUAGAUACCCUGGUAGUCCAUGCCGUAAACGAUGUCUACUAGCCGUUGGGGCCUUUGAGGCUUUAGUGGCGCAGCUAACGCGAUAAGUAGACCGCCUGGGGAGUACGGUCGCAAGACUAAAACUCAAAUGAAUUGACGGGGGCCCGCACAAGCGGUGGAGCAUGUGGUUUAAUUCGAUGCAACGCGAAGAACCUUACCUGGCCUUGACAUAGUAAGAACUUUCCAGAGAUGGAUUGGUGCCUUCGGGAACUUACAUACAGGUGCUGCAUGGCUGUCGUCAGCUCGUGUCGUGAGAUGUUGGGUUAAGUCCCGCAACGAGCGCAACCCUUUUCCUUAUUUGCCAGCGAGUAAUGUCGGGAACUUUAAGGAUACUGCCAGUGACAAACUGGAGGAAGGCGGGGACGACGUCAAGUCAUCAUGGCCCUUACGGCCAGGGCUACACACGUGCUACAAUGGUCGGUACAAAGGGUUGCUACCUAGCGAUAGGAUGCUAAUCUCAAAAAGCCGAUCGUAGUCCGGAUUGGAGUCUGCAACUCGACUCCAUGAAGUCGGAAUCGCUAGUAAUCGCGGAUCAGAAUGCCGCGGUGAAUACGUUCCCGGGCCUUGUACACACCGCCCGUCACACCAUGGGAGUUUGUUGCACCAGAAGUAGCUAGCCUAACUGCAAAGAGGGCGGUUACCAUGGGGGGGCCCA